AGACCCUUUGCUCCGACCCGAAUACCAGACGUCUAGCGCAAAGAAAGUCAAUGCUCUGCUACGUCCGGCAUUCCAGCCAUUCAAAGUCAAAGAGAACAACCCUUUACUCAGAGCCGCUUUCCAGCCAGGUCAAGUACCCGACCUUAAUGCUAAGCAACACAAUCCACUGUUGAGACCGGUGUAUCAAUCUGGCGAACUUCCGGAACACGUUCAACAGGACAAGCCUUUAUUGAGACCGGCGCACCAGCCCGACGAAGUCCCACAAGCCAAAGCGUACAAUCCUCAGUUGAGACCGGUUCUUCAACUUGGCCAACUUUCUGUCGUCGACACAAAUAAUCCGCUAUCAAGACGUGUACCCCAACCUGGUCAAAUCCCAAAGAAUAAUAAUCGGUAAGAUUAUUAAAGGAGAACGCCCAAAUAAUCCGAAUUCCCCGUUACACUGCAUUGACAACAUACUGUGCCACAUGAAAGGCUUUCCCACUAGCAAUGCUUCCACUGCCAUUUUUAUCUUUUAAUUUUUAAGGUCAUUGUAGAUUUUAAUUUUUUAAUUUGCUGGUGGAAUUGUUAAGAAAUAAAUAAGGGCAUGCAGUCAAAAAUAUGGUUUUCAAAUUUAAGCUCACCGAAUAAUAAAAUCUGACCCCCAACUUUUGAAAACCAAAUGUCAACGUACGCAAAUUAAUUGCAUUUUUGACACUGAGACAAGUACAAUUCAGGAACUUUCGCAAAAGAAAAACUCAACUAAA